AGGGGGUUAGUUUAAUUAAAACCGCUAAUUUCGGCUUAGUAAAUUCUGAUUUCCAGAACCCCUAA
rnacentral:tRNA from 1 species